rnacentral:lncRNA from 1 species
CAGCUCGUCUGGAAAGAGCCCUAUCUCCUUAGGCUUUAAUUCCCUUCGAAAAAGAGAAUCGAUCAUCUUCGCCUUCAAAUAGGGAUUGAGAGGCUUUCCCCUACCCAACCUGAAUUCUAAGGGCAAUCGAUGUGAACCAUAGGGUUUAGAAGCAGCCGCUUUCAGUCGUUCCCAACGUUUAGAUGCCCAACCUGAAUUCUAAGGGUAAUCGAUGUGAACCAUAAGGUUUAGAAGCAGCCGCUUUCAGUCGUUCCCAACGUUUAGAUUGAGUAGACAUCAAAGGCGAGAGAAGACGAUAGCCUGCACCAGCUAAGCGUUGUAGAACAGACAUUGAAAUGCUGUAUUUACCCGCUAACUGACACAAGGCAAGAGUCGAUCGACAGGGUGUCAAUGCCCUAAGAGAUAUCGGGGACAAAUCAAUUUGCAUGUCCUUAGAAAAAUCGAAAUAGAAAAUUGUGGAUGUCUUCUUCUUUACUGAGGGAGUAGGUAUGGCGCA